UCCCCGGUAGCUCAGUUGGUAGAGCAAGUGGCUGUUAACCACUGGGUCAGCGGUUCGAGUCCGUUCCGGGGAGCCA
rnacentral:tRNA from 1 species